GAUGAACGCUGGCGGCGUGCCUAAUACAUGCAAGUCGAGCGAACAGACGAGGAGCUUGCUCCUCUGACGUUAGCGGCGGGCGGGUGAGUAACACGUGGAUAACCUACCUAUAAGACUGGGAUAACUUCGGGAAACCGGAGCUAAUACCGGAUAAUAUAUUGAACCGCAUGGUUCAAUAGUGAAAGACGGUUUUGCUGUAACUUAUAGAUGGAUCCGCGCCGCAUUAGCUAGUUGGUAAGGUAACGGCUUACCAAGGCAACGAUGCGUAGCCGACCUGAGAGGGUGAUCGGCCACACUGGAACUGAGACACGGUCCAGACUCCUACGGGAGGCAGCAGUAGGGAAUCUUCCGCAAUGGGCGAAAGCCUGACGCAGCAACGCCGCGUGAGUGAUGAAGGUCUUCGGAUCGUAAAACUCUGUUAUUAGGGAAGAACAAAUGUGUAAGUAACUAUGCACGUCUUGACGGUACCUAAUCAGAAAGCCACGGCUAACUACGUG
rnacentral:rRNA from 1 species